CCUACGGGAGGCUGCAGUGGGGAAUAUUGGACAAUGGGGGCAACCCUGAUCCAGCCAUGCCGCGUGUGUGAAGAAGGCCCUCGGGUUGUAAAGCACUUUCAGUGAGGAAGAACGCCUGGUGGUUAAUACCCAUCAGGAAAGACAUCACUCACAGAAGAAGCACCGGCUAACUCCGUGCCAGCAGCCGCGGUAAUACGGAGGGUGCGAGCGUUAAUCGGAAUUACUGGGCGUAAAGCGCGCGUAGGUGGCUUGAUAAGCCGGUUGUGAAAGCCCGGGCUCAACCUGGGAACGGCAUCCGGAACUGUCAAGCUAGAGUGCAGGAGAGGAAGGUAGAAUUCCCGGUGUAGCGGUGAAAUGCGUAGAGAUCGGGAGGAAUACCAGUGGCGAAGGCGGCCUUCUGGACUGACACUGACACUGAGGUGCGAAAGCGUGGGUAGCAAACAGGAUUAGAUACCCUAGUAGUC
rnacentral:rRNA from 1 species